CAGCAGCCGCGGUAAUACAGAGGGUGCGAGCGUUAAUCGGAUUUACUGGGCGUAAAGCGUGCGUAGGCGGCUUUUUAAGUCGGAUGUGAAAUCCCUGAGCUUAACUUAGGAAUUGCAUUCGAUACUGGGAAGCUAGAGUAUGGGAGAGGAUGGUAGAAUUCCAGGUGUAGCGGUGAAAUGCGUAGAGAUCUGGAGGAAUACCGAUGGCGAAGGCAGCCAUCUGGCCUAAUACUGACGCUGAGGUACGAAAGCAUGGGGAGCAAACAGGACUAGAGACCCCUGUAGUCCCUGUCUCUUAUAC
rnacentral:rRNA from 1 species